CCUACGGGAGGCAGCAGUGGGGAAUUUUCCGCAAUGGGCGAAAGCCUGACGGAGCAACGCCGCGUGAGGGAUGAAGGCCUCUGGGCUGUAAACCUCUUUUAUCAAGGAAGAAGAUCUGACGGUACUUGAUGAAUAAGCCACGGCUAAUUCCGUGCCAGCAGCCGCGGUAAUACGGGAGUGGCAAGCGUUAUCCGGAAUUAUUGGGCGUAAAGCGUCCGCAGGCGGUCUUGUAAGUCUGUCGUUAAAGCGUGGAGCUUAACUCCAUUUCGGCGGUGGAAACUACAAGACUAGAGUGUGGUAGGGGCAGAGGGAAUUCCCGGUGUAGCGGUGAAAUGCGUAGAUAUCGGGAAGAACACCAGUGGCGAAGGCGCUCUGCUGGGCCAUAACUGACGCUCAUGGACGAAAGCUAGGGGAGCGAAAGGGAUUAGAUACCCCUGUAGUCCUAGCCGUAAACGAUGAACACUAGGUGUCGGGGGAAUCGACCCCCUCGGUGUCGUAGCUAACGCGUUAAGUGUUCCGCCUGGGGAGGUACGCACGCAGUAGUGAAACGUUAAAAGGUAAAGUUAGUACGGCGUGAGGACGUGUCCGAACGGACGACGACGAGGGGAGGUAGG
rnacentral:rRNA from 1 species